AGGAAUUGGCGGGGGAGCACCGCAACGGGAGGAGCGUGCGGUUUAAUUGGAUUCAACACCGGAAAACUCACCGAGGGCGACUAUCACAUGAAAGCCAGGCUAACGACCUUGCUUGAUUCUUAGAGAGGUGGUGCAUGGCCGUCGUCAGUUCGUACCGUAAGGCGUUCUCUUAAGUGAGAUAACGAACGAGACCCUCAUCUAUAAUUGCUACUUCACCCUCCGGGGUGGAGGCACAUUAUCGAGACCGCUGGCGCUAAGUCAGAGAAAGGAGAGGUCAACGGUAGGUCAGUAUGCCCCGAAUCUCUUGGGCUACACGCGCGCUACAAAGGGCGGGACAAUGGGCUACGACGCCGAAAGGCGAAGUCAAUCUCGAAACCCGUCCGUAGUUCGGAUUGAGGCUUGUAACUCAGCCUCAUGAAGCUGGAUUCCGUAGUAAUCGCGAAUCAAAAACUCGCGGUGAAUAUGCCCCUGCUCCUUGCACACACCGC
rnacentral:rRNA from 1 species